rnacentral:rRNA from 1 species
UACGGAAGGCAGCAGUGGGGAAUCUUGCGCAAUGGGCGAAAGCCUGACGCAGCCAUGCCGCGUGAAUGAUGAAGGUCUUAGGAUUGUAAAAUUCUUUCACCGGGGACGAUAAUGACGGUACCCGGAGAAGAAGCCCCGGCUAACUUCGUGCCAGCAGCCGCGGUAAUACGAAGGGGCUAGCGUUGCUCGGAAUUACUGGGCGUAAAGGGCGCGUAGGCGGAUCGUUAAGUCAGAGGUGAAAUCCCAGGGCUCAACCCUGGAACUGCCUUUGAUACUGGCGAUCUUGAGUAUGAGAGAGGUAUGUGGAACUCCGAGUGUAGAGGUGAAAUUCGUAGAUAUUCGGAAGAACACCAGUGGCGAAGGCGACGUACUGGCUCAUUACUGACGCUGAGGCGCGAAAGCGUGGGGAGCGAAACAGGGAUUAGAUACC